rnacentral:ncRNA from 1 species
AUAAAUUUUGGUAUUAAUUUUAAUUUAUUUUAAUAAUAAGUUUAUAUUUGUAGAGUAGUAAUUAAUAUUAAAAAUAUAAGAAAUUAAGAUUUAGUAAUAUUAAAAUUAAUAACAAAUUUUGUGCCAGCAGUUGCGGUUAAACAAAAGUUAAAUUAAAUUUUUUUAGUUAUUUAAUAAAUAUAAAUUUAUUAUAAUUUAAAUUUUAAAUUAUUAGGUGAAAUUUUAAUUUAAUUAAAUUUUAUUUUAAUAUUUAUGAUUUAAUAAAUUUUAUAAAAAACUAGGAUUAGAUACCCUAUUAUUAAAAUUUAAAAUAAUAAUACUAAAAUAGUAAAUAAUUAUUUAUUGAAACUUAAAUAAUUUGGCGGUAUUUUAGUUCAUUUAGAGGAAUCUGUUUAAUAAUUGAUAAUCCACGAAUAAAUUUACUUAAUUUAUAAUUUUGUAUAUCGUUGUUAAAAAAAUAUUUUAUAAUAAUAAUAAUAUUUAAAAUUUAUAAUAUUAAAUUAAAUCAAAUCAAGAUGCAGAAUAUAAUUAAGAAUAUAAUGGAUUACAAUAAAUUUAUUUAAAUGGAUAUUAAUUUGAAAAAAUUAAUUGAAAGUGGAUUUAAAUGUAAUUUUAUUUAAUUUAAUAAAAUGAUUAUAAAUUAAAAUAUGUACAUAUUGCCCGUCGCUUUCAUAUAAUAAUAAAAAUUGAAAUAAGUCGUAACAAAGUAGAGGUACUGGAAAGUGUUUCUAGAAAGAC